rfam:Ancylostoma ceylanicum strain HY135 Acey_s0015_scaf, whole genome shotgun sequence.
UUAACUUUGAUAUGUCUGGUAUUCUUGGGUUCAGUGACAACCAGAACUAUUAGACAUAUCGAAGGUCGG